GAGGAUAUACAAGGAAUAUACUCAGAAGGUUCAAUAAAUAUUUGAAUAAACGUAUUUUAUAUUAUACAAAAAAAUUGAAAUUAAGCAGAUUCCAACCUUUUUUUAUAUUUUUUUCAUUGCCUUUUCUGUAAACUCUCAUCAAUUUUGUUAAUAAUAUCAAUGAUAAUUUCGGAAGCAGGCGAUUCAGGACAUUCAUCAAUAAAGCUUUUUCCAAAAUCACAUGAACGUGCAAUCAAUGGGUCCAAAGGAAUUUUACCCAAGAAUGGUAGUCCCAUUUCUUUUGCUAACGCUUCACCUCCUCCUGUAGUAAUAGUGAAUAUAUUAGACUUGCCUUUGCAAGAAGGACAUACAAAACCGCUCAUGUUCUCCACUAAUCCAAGGAUAGGGAUGGACGCCUUUCUGCAAAAAUCUAUUUCUUUACGGACGUCUUGAAGAGCAACCUCUUGAGGAGUAGUAACUACAACAGCACCAUCAAUUCCGGAAUUUUUAAAAAAUUGAACCAAAGAUAAAUGUUCAUCGCUAGUUCCCGGAGGAGUAUCAACAAUCAAAUAGUCUAAAUUUUCCCAGUUAACGUCUUUGAUGAAUUGUUUGAUCAGCCCGUUUUUUUUGGGCCCCCUCCAUAUAACAGAUGAAUCUUCGCUUGGUAAUAAAAAUCCAAUUGACAUAACAGCCAAGUUAGGGCAUACAUAAAUAGGGGACCAGCCUUUGCUUGAUUGAUGGGCUUCCUCCUUUUCAACACCCAUUAUUCUCGGAAUUGAAGGCCCGCAAAUAUCCACGUCCAUUAACCCGAUCUGCUUGUCUUCUUCAAGCGAUAACCCCCAUGCUAAUUGCGAAGAGAAUGUGGACUUUCCAACACCUCCUUUACCUGAUAAAACAAGAAUUUUGUGCUUGAUUUCUUUCAAGCGUUCUACAACCAAUGGUAAAUCUGGAUCUUCUCCACGAGGUGCUGAAGCGCAAAUUUGUUGAUUAGGGCAUCCUUCACAUGCUGAU